rnacentral:RNase_P_RNA from 1 species
GAAGUAAACUCGAUGAUCGCGGGGGCAGGGACUGAAAGGUCGCCCCUGAGGAAAGUCCGAGCUCCAUAGGGCAAGGUGCUGGGUAACGCCCAGUGGGGGUGACCCCAAGGAAAGUGCAACAGAGAUAUACCGCCUGCCACUCAGCUUGAGCGGCAGGUAAGGGUGGAAAGGCGAGGUAAGAGCUCACCGGCAGUCAGGUGACUGGCUGGCCAUGUAAACCCCACCUGGAGCAAGACUGAAUAGGGGAACGAUGAACGGCCCGUUUUGAUUCCCGGGUAAGGUCGCUAGAGGCCGUCGGUAACGGCGGUUCGAGAUAGAUGAUCAUCACCUCCGUAUUGGAGGGACAGAACUCGGCUUACAGGUUGGCUUCGCUG